rnacentral:tRNA from 1 species
CGGGGUAUAGCUCAAUGGUAAAGCACAAGCCUAGCAGGCGUAUGGUCCUGGGUUCAAUCCCCGGUACCUCCA